UACGUAGGGUGCGAGCGUUGUCCGGAAUUAUUGGGCGUAAAGAGCUCGUAGGCGGUGUGUUACGUCGGCCGUGAAAACCUGCAGCUUAACUGUGGGCGUGCGGUCGAUACGGGCAUCACUGGAGUUCGGCAGGGGAGACUGGAAUUCCUGGUGUAGCGGUGAAAUGCGCAGAUAUCAGGAGGAACACCGGUGGCGAAGGCGGAUCUCUGGGCCUUACCUGACGCUGAGGAGCGAAAGCGUGGGGAGCGAACAGG
rnacentral:rRNA from 1 species